GCUCAACCGGGGAGGGUCAUUGGAAACUGGGGAACUUGAGUGCAGAAGAGGAGAGUGGAAUUCCACGUGUAGCGGUGAAAUGCGUAGAGAUGUGGAGGAACACCAGUGGCGAAGGCGACUCUCUGGUCUGUAACUGACGCUGAGGCGCGAAAGCGUGGGGAGCGAACAGGAUUAGAUACCCUGGUAGUCCACGCCGUAAACGAUGAGUGCUAAGUGUUAGAGGGUUUCCGCCCUUUAGUGCUGCAGCAAACGCAUUAAGCACUCCGCCUGGGGAGUACGGUCGCAAGACUGAAACUCAAAGGAAUUGACGGGGGCCCGCACAAGCGGUGGAGCAUGUGGUUUAAUUCGAAGCAACGCGAAGAACCUUACCAGGUCUUGACAUCCUCUGACAACCCUAGAGAUAGGGCUUCCCCUUCGGGGGCAGAGUGACAGGUGGUGCAUGGUUGUCGUCAGCUCGCGUCGUGAGAUGUUGGGUUAAGUCCCGCAACGAGCGCAACCCUUGAUCUUAGUUGCCAGCAUUCAGUUGGGCACUCUAAGGUGACUGCCGGUGACAAACCGGAGGAAGGUGGGGAUGACGUCAAAUCAUCAUGCCCCUUAUGACCUGGGCUACACACGUGCUACAAUGGGCAGAACAAAG
rnacentral:rRNA from 1 species